rnacentral:lncRNA from 1 species
GAGGUAUCAAAACUACUGAAAUUUUGUUACGUAUCAAUAUUUUGAAUAAAAGGAGGACAUGCUGACAUCCAAAAUUAAUGCGAACAAAAAUUUGUUGUUAUUAUAUAUUGCAAUAUUACUGUCCAUUGUAUCAUGUGUAUUAUACAUUGAAUCCUGACAUAAAAAAUAUGGCUUAUUUACUAUGCGGGUAUACAUGGUAUAUAGAUUUACAAAUUAAAGUGCACAUAUGGUCAGUUUUGGUCAAUGCGGUCAAAUCAUUUUGUUGUACAAGUCAGCAUGAGGUAUCAAAACUACUGAAAUUUUGUUACGUAUCAAUAUUUUGAAUAAAAGGAGGACAUUCUAGCACCCUAAAUGUAUGCGAAC